CCCAAAAUAUAAAGGCUAGGGCACACCCUUCUCAGGCACUAAUGUCAGAGACAGCCUGGGACCAAACCACGAAGGAUCUGCAGGAAACCAGUUAUUUUUGAACUUGGAGAUGACCUCUCUUCUAGCUGUAGCAGUUCACUGUUCAAUCCUAACUCAGUGGCUAACACAACAGGUGACUGGCCUGGCAUGGAUGACCAAGUCAUGUCAGCUAGACAUGGCUGACAAUGCUUUUGAUGAUCAGUAUGAGGGCUGUACUGAAGAAAUGGAGAAGAAAGCACCCCGGCUGUUAAAAAAAGAACUGGAAGUGAAUAAAAAUUUUAAAAAUGAAUGGGACAUGGCAAAGAUAAAAUGGAAGCAAAUACAGAACAAAAAUUAUCCAAAACAAUUCAAUGAUUUCCAUGGCACAGCUCUAGUGGCCUAUACUGGGAAAAUUGCAACAGAAUUUAACAAAGCUGUAAGGGAAUUCCAUCAGAAUUCACAUAAUUUUCAGUUCAAAGCCUUCCAUUAUUAUUUGACAAGAGCUCUUCAGCUUCUCAGUACAGGGAAAUGUUACACAGUCUAUAGAGGUUGUGACACCAAACUUCAUGACAAUGGGAAAGGAAAAAUACGUUUUGGCCAAAUUGCCUCAUCGUCUUUGGCUAUGUCUGUACCAUUAAGGUUUCUAGGAGAAAAUGGAACCCUGUUUAUCAUCAAGACCUGCAUGGGUGUUAAUAUUCAAGAAUUUACUAUGCAUCCAGCUGAAGAGGAAGUGCUAAUUCCAGGCUACGAGGUGUAUCAGGAAGUCACCAUGCAAAACUCAGAUAAAAAAUACAACGAAAUUUUACUUGAAAGUCCCACAAAACUUAAGAGUAAUGUCAAUUGCUUCUAUAGUUCCACUAACAAU